GGGAAAACAACAUACACAAAUAUGACCCACAGACAAGUCUAUCCUCCCCCCACAACCUCGAGGUCAUAAUCUUUCUAAUGGCUGUACCGGACGUAGAUCCUGCUGUUGUUAAAGAAGGGGUUACAGGAUGGCCCAAGAUGAUAACAAAGACAAGAUGGAGGACAGCAGGAUCAUUAUGCUCAUGAGACAAAGAAAAAGAAGACUACUGAGCUGCAGGACUGGGGUUCCCCAGACAGAGGAAGAGGCAGCUAUCUGGAAGACUGCAACAGUUGACCACAUGUCUGAAGAGUAGGAUGCCAUAUUGGAUGGAAAGUCGGUGUGGGUUGUUCGGGUUAUUAUAUUGUUUUACAUAUAUUAUACACAGGCCUUAUAUAUUAUAUGGGGUUAUUUAUUGUAUGACUAAUAGUAAAAUGUAUUCUGUGCUAAUGUUUUUUUAUUUAUUUAUAGAGUUAUGACUGUGUGUAUAUAAAUAUAUAUGUCAUGUGCCCAGUGUCAUUUACAAAUAAUAAAAAUAACAAACUCAACUUUGUCUAUCUGAUUGUCUUGACAUUAUAACCAUGAACACCAAUGACAAUGAAUAUUAAUAAUGAGUAAU